UACGGAGGUGGCAAGCGUUGCUCGGAAUCACUGGGCGUAAAGGGCGCGUAGGCGGGGAGGUAAGUCGGGUGUGAAAUCCCUCGGCCCAACUGAGGAACUGCGCCCGAGACUGCUUCUCUUGAGUCCCGGAGAGGAAGAUGGAAUUCCCGGUGUAGCGGUGAAAUGCGUAGAUAUCUGGAGGAACACCGGUGGCGAAGGCGGCAUCCUGGACCGGUAUUGACGCUGAGGAGCGAAAGCCAGGGGAGCAAACGGG
rnacentral:rRNA from 1 species